rnacentral:lncRNA from 1 species
AAUUAAUUAAAGAUUUAGUCCAAAAUUUUAACAUAAAUUCAAUGUAGUGCACUACAACAAAAACGGUCUAUAGCAAUACUUUUAAAUAUAGGUACAUGUCAAAAAAGUGCUGCUAGCUAAAAUUACCGAUACUUUUAAAAAGUGUUGCUAUAUGUGGGGUCGCUAGGUAUGUAGUGACGGUUAAAGAGUGUCGCUAUAACCUAAAAGAGUGCUGCUAAUUUACCAACACUUAUUUAAGCAUUUAGCAACCGCCAAAACUCUAUCUCGUUGGCUGCGGUGGUGGAGAAAGACGACAGUAAAAGCUCUUCGUCUAGAAUUUCAGUGGAUUAAGUGAAGAGAGAAGAAAAGAUAGUAACUGAUUUUUCUUUUUUUUUUUUUUCUGUUUGUAAUCGGGCCAAAUGGACUAGGUGUGAUGGGUUGAGUAGAGUAAUCUUUUAUUUUUGGUUGGAUUGGGCUUUAUAUUUAGGCAUUAGUAGAUGUGUUUUUAAGUUUUAGUAUAAAUAAAACACUUACUCAAAAGGGUCCCAAACAUAUGUCCCUAUAACUUAAUUCUGUUGUAGUGGUGGAAGAUUGGAUUAUGCUUGAUUGGUGGAAACUAAUC